rnacentral:sRNA from 1 species
UGAUUAUUACCGCCAUUCCCAUAUCGGCGGGCUAGCUACGUGCGCACCCAAACCCGCCUCCGAGGCGGGUUUU